GGAGGAAAGCAGGGGAUCGAAAGACCUUGCGCUUUUGGAGCGGCCGAUGUCUGAUUAGCUAGUUGGUGGGGUAAUGGCCUACCAAGGCGACGAUCAGUAGUUGGUCUGAGAGGACGACCAGCCACACUGGGACUGAGACACGGCCCAGACUCCUACGGGAGGCAGCAGUGGGGAAUUUUGGACAAUGGGCGCAAGCCUGAUCCAGCAAUGCCGCGUGAGUGAAGAAGGCCUUCGGGUUGUAAAGCUCUUUCAGUCGAGAAGAAAAGGCUGCAGUGAAUAACUGUAGUUUAUGACGGUAUCGACAGAAGAAGCACCGGCUAACUACGUGCCAGCAGCCGCGGUAAUACGUAGGGUGCGAGCGUUAAUCGGAAUUACUGGGCGUAAAGGGUGCGCAGGCGGUUUUGUAAGUCAGAUGUGAAAUCCCC
rnacentral:rRNA from 1 species